GCGAGUGGCGAACGGGUGAGUAAUAUAUCGGAACGUGCCCUGGAGUGGGGGAUAACGCAGCGAAAGUUGCGCUAAUACCGCAUACGAUCUAAGGAUGAAAGCGGGGGAUUCGCAAGAACCUCGUGCUCCUGGAGCGGCCGAUAUCUGAUUAGCUAGUUGGUGGGGUAAAGGCCUACCAAGGCAUCGAUCAGUAGCUGGUCUGAGAGGACGACCAGCCACACUGGAACUGAGACACGGUCCAGACUCCUACGGGAGGCAGCAGUGGGGAAUAUUGCACAAUGGGCGCAAGCCUGAUGCAGCAACGCCGCGUGAGGGACGACGGCCUUCGGGUUGUAAACCUCUUUGAGUAGGGAAGAAGCGACUGGGUUUUCCUGGGAGUGACGGUACCCGCAGAAAAAGCACCGGCUAACUACGUGCCAGCAGCCGCGGUAAUACGUAGGGUGCAAGCGUUGUCCGGAAUUAUUGGGCGUAAAGAGCUCGUAGGCGG
rnacentral:rRNA from 1 species